GAUGAACGCUGGCGGCGUGCCUAAUACAUGCAAGUCGAGCGAACGGACGAGAAGCUUGCUUUUCUGAUGUUAGCGGCGGACGGGUGAGUAACACGUGGAUAACCUACCUAUAAGACUGGGAUAACUUCGGGAAACCGGAGCUAAUACCGGAUAAUAUUUUGAACCGCAUGGUUCAAAAGUGAAAGACGGUCUUGCUGUCACUUAUAGAUGGAUCCGCGCUGCAUUAGCUAGUUGGUAAGGUAACGGCUUACCAAGGCAACGAUGCAUAGCCGACCUGAGAGGGUGAUCGGCCACACUGGAACUGAGACACGGUCCAGACUCCUACGGGAGGCAGCAGUAGGGAAUCUUCCGCAAUGGGCGAAAGCCUGACGGAGCAACGCCGCGUGAGUGAUGAAGGUCUUCGGAUCGUAAAACUCUGUUAUUAGGGAAGAACAUAUGUGUAAGUAACUGUGCACAUCUUGACGGUACCUAAUCAGAAAGCCACGGCUAACUACGUGCCAGCAGCCGCGGUAAUACGUAAGUGGCAAGCGUUAUCCGGAAUUAUUGGGCGUAAAGCGCGCGUAGGCGGUUUUUUAAGUCUGAUGUGAAAGCCCACGGCUCAACCGUGGAGGGUCAUUGGAAACUGGAAAACUUGAGUGCAGAAGAGGAAAGUGGAAUUCCAUGUGUAGCGGUGAAAUGCGCAGAGAUGUGGAGGAACACCAGUGGCGAAGGCGACUUUCUGGUCUGUAACUGACGCUGAUGUGCGAAAGCGUGGGGAUCAGACAGGAUUAGAUACCCUGGUAGUCCACGCCGUAAACGAUGAGUGCUAAGUGUUAGGGGGUUUCCGCCCCUUAGUGCUGCAGCUAACGCAUUAAGCACUCCGCCUGGGGAGUACGACCGCAAGGUUGAAACUCAAAGGAAUUGACGGGGGCCCGCACAAGCGGUGGAGCAUGUGGUUUAAUUCGAAGCAACGCGAAGAACCUUACCAAAUCUUGACAUCCUUUGACAACUCUAGAGAUAGAGCCUUCCCCUUUGGGGGACAAAGUGACAGGUGGUGCAUGGUUGUCGUCAGCUCGUGUCGUGGGAUGUUGGGUUAAGUCCCGCAACGAGCGCAACCCUUAAGCUUAGUUGCCAUCAUUAAGUUGGGCACUCUAAGUUGACUGCCGGUGACAAACCGGAGGAAGGUGGGGAUGACGUCAAAUCAUCAUGCCCCUUAUGAUUUGGGCUACACACGUGCUACAAUGGACAAUACAAAGGGCAGCGAAACCGCGAGGUCAAGCAAAUCCCAUAAAGUUGUUCUCAGUUCGGAUUGUAGUCUGCAACUCGACUACAUGAAGCUGGAAUCGCUAGUAAUCGUAGAUCAGCAUGCUACGGUGAAUACGUUCCCGGGUCU
rnacentral:rRNA from 1 species